CUUCCAUGCGCGAGGUGAGGCUUGAACCCCAGUCCUCCGUCAGCCUUUGCUCCUUCGCCCGUGCUGCUAGCCACUGCACCACGCUUCUUUCUUUACUAAUAUAAGGUCACAAUUAAUCUUAAUCUAUUCCUGCUGAAGCCUCGGUUACCUGCGAAAUAAAAAGGAAAUUUCGCCUGCUAUACAUCUCGAACCUGCGACCUUCUAAACACACACAAAUGCUACGUACCACUGCACUGAAGUU
rnacentral:lncRNA from 1 species